rnacentral:rRNA from 1 species
UACGUAGGCAGCAAGCGUUGUUCGGAGUUACUGGGCGUAAAGAGUGCGUAGGCGGUCCUGUAAGUUUGGUGUGAAAUCUCCCGGGCUCAACUGGGAGGGUGCGCCGAAGACUGCAGGGCUUGAGUAUGGGAGAGGUAAGCGGAAUUCCUGGUGUAGCGGUGAAAUGCGCAGAUAUCGGGAAGAACACCCGUGGCGAAGGCGGCUCUCUGGGACGGUAC